AGGCGCGAAAACUUUACAAUGCGCGCAAGCGCGAUGAGGGGACCUCGAGUGUCGGUGCCAAGCAUCGACUGUCCCGCUGCCUAAACAGCAGUGGUUAGCAAGGGCUGGGCAAGACCGGUGCCAGCCGCCGCGGUAACACCGGCGGCUCGAGUGGUGACCACUUUUAUUGAGCUUAAAGGGUCCGUAGCCGGUCUGGUAACUCUCUUGGGAAAUCUGGCGGCUUAACCGUCAGGCGUCCGGGGGAAACUGCCAGACUUGGGAGCGGGGGAGGUUGGAGGUACUCCAGGGGUAGAGGUGAAAUUCUGUAAUCCUUGGGGGACCACCAGUGGCGAAGGCGUCCAACCAAAACGCGUCCGACGGUGAGGGACGAAAGCCAGGGGCACGAACCGGAUUAGAUACCCGGGUAGUCCUGGCCGUAAACGAUGCGGGCUAGGUGUCACAGUGGCUACGAGCCACUGUGGUGCCGUAGAGAAAUCGUGAAGCCUGCCGCUUGGGAAGUACGGCCGCAAGGCUGAAACUUGAAGGAAUUGGCGGGGGAGCACUACAACGGGUGGAGCCUGCGGUUUAAUUGGAUUCAACGCCGGGAAGCUUACCGGGUGCGACAGCUGGAUGAAGGCCAGGCUAAAGACCUUGCUGGACUAGCUGAGAGGAGGUGCAUGGCCGUCGUCAGUUCGUACUGUGAAGCAUA
rnacentral:rRNA from 1 species